rnacentral:lncRNA from 1 species
CAAAAUGUAAUUUUCAAAUGGUUAUCCAAACACCAACAUUGUUGUUCACUAGCACAUAUGAACCCAAAAAGUAAAAACUGAAACUAGUUCACAUCCAGCAGGAACAAAGAGAGGUUCCACCAAAUUCCAAUUCACUCACUACAUUCAUAUCUAAUAGAAUAAAAUGGUCCACAAAAACAGAUAACUUAUUUUAGUAACCUUAAAACUACUAAACAAGAGUAACUUUUUGUAAUUACAUUAGAACUUAUCUACAUUUAUACCAUCUCUAGUAACCUCAUAUGCUUCCCUUUUCCUUGUCUUCUUCAUGCCGGCCAUGAAAUGGAGCUUUGGUCCCUCAGAUGAAAUGGUGGUUACUUUUACCCAGAUCAGCACCUUAGUCUUUAUUCCCUCUAUUUCUGCUAGCUUUCCUUUCUCCAAAUAACCACUCACACAGGUGGAGAACCUUAAGACUGAUGAAUCUCGGUAGCCGACUUCGCACACUUGAGGAAUGUAAACAACAAGUUUCCCAGUUUCUUCAUUGAAUUCGUAGUUUGUUGCAUCACGAGGAAACAUUCCAAUGGGUAGAUCAUACUCCUUUAGUA